rnacentral:rRNA from 1 species
GAUGAACGCUGGCGGCGUGCCUAACACAUGCAAGUCGAACGAGGUAUUUUGAUUGAAGUUUUCGGAUGGAUUUCAAGAUACCGAGUGGCGGACGGGUGAGUAACGCGUGGGUAACCUGCCUCAUACAGGGGGAUAACGGUUAGAAAUGACUGCUAAUACCGCAUAAGCGCACAGUACCGCAUGGUACGGUGUGAAAAACUCCGGUGGUAUGAGAUGGACCCGCGUCUGAUUAGCUAGUUGGUGGGGUAACGGCCCACCAAGGCGACGAUCAGUAGCCGACCUGAGAGGGUGAUGGGCCACAUUGGGACUGAGACACGGCCCAGACUCCUGCGGGAGGCAGCAGUGGGGGAUAUUGCACAAUGGAGGAAACUCUGAUGCAGCGACGCCGCGUGGGUGAAGAAGUAUUUCGGUAUGUAAAGCUCUAUCAGCAGGGAAGAAAAUGACGGUACCUGACUAAGAAGCCCCGGCUAACUACGUGCCAGCCGCCGCGGUAA